GUUUACGUCUCCAUGUCAUGAAACGAGACGAAAAAAUGGGCGAAACAAAACAAAUUGUUGCUAAUUAUACUUAUAUUCCUGUGAUUUCAAAUACCAAAUGGAUCUUCGUAUCUUGUAUGCAUAGCUAAUUAGCUACUGUCACUGUCAGUCAUACCAACAAGUUGACUUCUAGCACUCAGUCACUUUCCAUCCAUUAAAUCCUCAUGCUGUCAAAAGCCUUAAACUCAUAUUUGAAGCACACAUAUAGUGGAAUAUAAAUGUGUGGGUAUGAGGUAUUUUCCAAUUACUGUAACCACACCAACCACACCACGUCAGAUGCCUUAGAGCUACUAAAUCAUCACCUAUAUGAUGAUAAAGCAUCAGGAAAUUUAUCCCACCUGAGGAGUAAUGCAGCAAUUAUUACGGGUUUUCUUCACAUGAACAUUUCAGUGUGCGUCUUGGAAAAGCACGCAAGAUGCCCACGGACAUCCUUGAGUCAAUGCUGGAUAUUGUCCUUGACAGAAGAGGGACUUCCACCAACGUUCUGCUCCAUUCUUAUCUUCAAGACGUACGCUCAUACAGCUUCGCUGCUUCAGCGCUUCUUAUGCUGCUACACGUCAACUUUUCUUGCUUCACUGGCGAGUGGAUCACUUCAGUUGCUGUGACAAACCUGCAGUCACUCACCAAGGGAUUAUGGCCAGGUUUAUAUGCAGAGGAGACGUUGAGAAGACGGACACCAAAAACGUCGCCAGUGUGUCAAAAAUGUCAGCUGCGGAUCAUCAUUUGUUGUUGGUAAUAUGUUUUGUGUUAGUUAACCCGUUGGCUGCCACGCCUUUGUUCCCCCAU